GAUAGAGGCAGGAGGAUCUCUGAGUUCGAGGCCAGCCUGGUCUACAAAGUGAGCUCCAGAAAAGCCAGGGAGAUACAGAAUCGCUGUCUUGAACACCCUGCCCCCCGUCCCCCCCCCCACACACAAUAAAGAUUGUCCCUGAUCUCUAACCAGACUAAGGAAGUGUAAGGAUGAGUAUCUCUGAGGAAUGUAGAUUAAAAAGUCUUACAUUUAACCAACAGUGAGUGGAAAAUGUGUGUUUAACUGAAAAGCAAAGCUUGCUGAACUAUGCUUAAUACACUAACCAGUCCUGUUCAACAAUUACGUCACGAUGUUGGGGCCAGCGUGAUGGCUCUGCAGGUAAAGACACUUGCUGCUAAGCCUGACCACCAGAGUUCAGUCCUAGAACUCAGUCCAGAGUUCACAGGGUAGGAAAGAACUGAUGCCCACACGUUGUACUCUGACCGUUACACAUGCUGGGCACAUUCAAGUAUCCUCUCACACACAGAAAUUAGUGCAAUAAAAAUGGCAAAGUUGCGUUCAUCUCAAAAACCUAAGAUUGGUUUAAUGGUCCAAAUUCUACCUGGGUAGGUCAUCAUAUUAGCAGGUUAAAGGAGGGAAAAAGAAAUGUGAUCAUUUCAAAAGAUGCAGAGAAUUCAUAUGACAAAUUUCAGUGUUGCUAAUAAUUUUUUUUUAAAGUGAGCCAGGUGAUAACGUGUUUGUGAUCCUUGGCACAGGUAGGAAGCUUGCCCCAAGUUCAAGGCCAGCCUGUGCUCUAUAGCAAGUUUCAGACUAGCCAGACCCUGCCUCAAAUAAAACACAGAUUUCCUGAACCAAUGAGUAGCUUUUCAGAAAUCUUGCUCUGCCUCACUUCCCUGUAAAAGACUGGAUGCUGGGCUGGAGAGAUGACUCAGAGGUUAAGAGCACCGACUGUUCUUCCAGAGGUCCUGAGUUCAAUUCCCAGCAACCACAUGGUGGUUCACAACCAUCUGUAAUGAGAUCUGGCGCCCUCUUCUGUAUACAUGAUAAAUAAAUAAAUCUUAAAGACUGGAUGCUUCUUGCGGUGCGGCAAAGCGUCUGAUUUCCCCAGGUUAUUUAGCACUGUGCGGGAGGUCCAGACAGUAAGGAAGAGGAAAGCUCACACACCCCGGAAAGGAAGCAGCUUCCCCAUCAGUGGCAUGAGCAUGUUGGUAAAACCUCCCAGGGUUCUGCAGAACUCUCCUGCAGACCUUAGGAAGCACGCAGCACACAAACUCUACGUACAUAAAUGAACAACAAACUGAAUUUUUAAAGACAGUGUACGAUGGCCUCAAAAGUGGACUUCCAACUAAAAUUUGCAAAAUACAAAUGAGAGCUAUAUGCUUAAAAAUAAGGCUGCUGAGAAAUGUUAGAACAGUGUGUAUAGAUCAGAAAGGGCCAUUUUGAGGGGAGAAAAUGCCGUGUCCUGGUGGCUGUACUGAGGGAUCUAUAUUUGUCAGAAACAUUUUAUAGUGUAUUCUGAAAAUGUGCAUUUCUUUCUAUGUAACUUGUCAGUAAGGUUUGGUGUAUGUGUGUGCUCUUGCAUGUCUGGAUUACACAUGUGUAUCACCACAUCAAGCCAAUAAAACAUUCAAAAACAUUAGCAAACAGGUAGGCAGUUCAAGACUUAAAUUAAAAAUACCAGAAAUAACCAGGCAUGCCUUAAAUCCCAGCACUGGAGGCAGAGACAGGUGGAUCUCUCUGAAUUUGAGGCUAGCCUGGUCUACAUAGUGAGUUCCAGGCCAGCCAGAGCUACAUAGUAAGACCCUGCCUUAAAAAAAAGAAAAUAAAAAUCAGAAACAAGUAUUGUUUGCUCCAUGAUUCUGUAAUGAUGGUUAAAAUAUUAAAUAGUUUAAAUUUAAAUAUUUUUUAAUAAAAUCCCUAUUAAACAGAUGUUAUUGUUAGGUAAAGGUAUCUGACAUUUUUCCCCCAAGAAAAAAAACAACUUUAGAACUGGUAGGCAGGAACUACCUGCUUGUCUCAAAGAAAAUAAAAUUAGAGUCCUACAAACUAGCCAGACUCUCUCUCAAGUUGCCCAAAGCUGGCCUUGAACUUGCUUUGUAGUGGAGGAGGACCUUGAACUCCUGAUCCUGUCUUUAUCUCCCAAGUGCUGGGAUCACAGUCCUGCCUCACUGCCCAGUGGGAACAGGACCUCCCUAAUCAAAUGCAUGGAGCCUGCCAUAACUUCCUGGCAAGUAUCACCUUAGGCUGUGAGGCUAAUUUUGAAAUAUCCUACUUUAUACCAGGAAUAGGGUCAGGACUCAAGACAACACUCCUACUUGGAAUGGUUCUGGGCUUUGGUUUGGUUUUUCCCUGGCACUGGGGAUUAAAUCCAGGACCUCAGACAUGUCAAACAGACACCCAACCACAUCCCAUCAUCAAAAAUGGCUCUGGAAGGGAUCACAAGUAUAAAAAGAUACAGGAACAUAAUUCCAAGGGCUCAUUCUGCACUCUCCGAUUCUUUCCCAAACAGAUUGUAGGAGUUGGCCUAGAUUUCACCACACAGAUGCCCCUGCGGGCAAUGAUUUGUACAUGGCUUUUGUUCUUUGGGGAAGCCACAAGGUGGUGGCAUCUUGAUCUUCCAGGACUUCUAUAGCCAAUUUGUGAUAUUGUCCUUAGGAUCAUAAAUACCAAGUGGCAGUAGUGGCAGGUUGGACAUUUUACUAGGCAGUGCCCAGGCUCAACAGGUCCAUAGGUUUUGUGACCUAAUCCCGAGUUUUUGUUUUGUUUUCUGUUCUGAAGCAGGUUCUUAGGUAUCCCAGGCCAUCUUUGAACUUGUUAUGUUGUGGAGAAUGACCUUGAAUUCGUGAUCCUCUGGCCAUUACCUCCCAAGUACUAUGAUUACAGAUGUUUGCUACUAUGCCUGGUUUUGUGGGGCCAGUGACUAGUGCAUGCUAGGCAAGCAUUAAGCUACAUGUCCAGUUGUGGGUUUUUGGUUUUUUUUUUCCCCCCGCGGAGGGUUGGGGGUGAGGUUUGUGAAUUUUAGUGCAGUGCCUAAGAUGACCAGAAGAGGGCAUCAGAUCCCCUGGAGCUGGAGUUAUAGAUGAUCGUGAGCAGCCCAAUAUGGGUGCUAGAAACUGAACUCUGGUCCUCUUAAAGAGUAGCAAGUGCUCUAAACUACUGAUCCAUCUCCCCAGCUCCUUAGUAAUUUUCAACUUAUCAUUAUUAAUUAUUAUUAUUAAUUGUUAUUAUUUUGCUUAAAGAGUUACAAGAAGUUAGCAGUCUUAACCAAGAAAAGUAAUAAUAACUAAAAGAAAAUUAUUUCUCUUUAUUUGCAUUAUCCCAUGACUGGGUAUAUAUAGAAAAAAAAUUGAGCUACAUGCCAUAGAAAAGUAACUGUAGGGGCCUGGGGGAGAGCUCCACAGGGCAAAUGCUUGCUGUACAGGCCUGAGGACCCAAGUUCAGAACCCUUCACACACAUCAUCUAGGGGGACAGCACCCACCUGUAAUCCCUGCGCGGAGGCGGCAAGGACAAGACAAGCCUUCCCAGAUCGGCUCGCCACACCGCC